GACGAACGCUGGCGGCGUGCUUAACACAUGCAAGUCGAACGGAAAGGCUCCAGCUUGCUGGAGUGCUCGAGUGGCGAACGGGUGAGUAACACGUGGGCAAUCUGCCCUGCACUCUGGGAUAAGCCUGGGAAACUGGGUCUAAUACCGGAUAGGACCUUUCUCCUCAUGGGGUUUGGUGGAAAGUUUUUCGGUGCAGGAUGAGCCCGCGGCCUAUCAGCUUGUUGGUGGGGUAAUGGCCUACCAAGGCGACGACGGGUAGCCGGCCUGAGAGGGUGAUCGGCCACAUUGGGACUGAGAUACGGCCCAGACUCCUACGGGAGGCAGCAGUGGGGAAUAUUGCACAAUGGGCGAAAGCCUGAUGCAGCGACGCCGCGUGAGGGAUGACGGCCUUCGGGUUGUAAACCUCUUUCAGUAGGGACGAAGCGCAAGUGACGGUACCUGCAGAAGAAGCACCAGCUAACUACGUG
rnacentral:rRNA from 1 species